GCCGGGCGCAGUGCCCACGCCUGUCAUCCUAGCAGCUCGGGAGGCUGAGGCAGGAGGAUCGCGAGUUCAAAGCCAGCCUCAGCAACAAUGAGGCCCUAAGCAACUCAGUGAGACCCUGUCUCUA
rnacentral:sRNA from 1 species